AAGCUGAUAAAUAGCUGACUAGCGGUGGAGACGCACGGCCGUGAUAGGCCACUUAGGAGAAUGAAGCCGUUUUCUCAGUCAUCUGGCAGCAGACCAGUCCGUCCUCCCUCCCCCCUUUUCUUUACAAGGAAACUUUGAGUCUCCACAGCGACCAGAAGCAAAGGCAGCCAAAGAAGGGAGCAGCUGGCCGAGGGAGAGACACUCCAGGAGAAGGGGGCUAGAGAAGGGGAGCAAAUGUGACUUUGGAAGAAAGAAGGAAAAGCGAGCAGGGAAAACAAAGCCCCCCUGCCACACAACACAGCCAGUUUUUUUGUUGCUAAAGAUGUCUUGGGAAGAAGGAUUUAAGAAGAUGGGACAACAAGUACUACAGAAGCUUCAGAGUCUGCCCCAAAGUGAUCCAUUAGAGAUAGCAGCCUUUCUAAUUCUCCUCACUUUCAUUGCAACAGUCCUUGUGCUUUUCAUCUUGGCCUGUACAUAUUGCUGCUGCUCGAAUUCCCAGAGGAGGAUGACCAAGGUUAAGCCACUCCACCAUCCCUGAAGUCACUAAAGAACACUUCAGCAAAUGACUCCUCGUGCUCAGUAAACAGGCCUGGUCCACUGCCGGCCUCAUUUUCAAAUGAUCGUCAUUAAGACGAGUCGGUCUUAUUUUGGACAUGAAGAAAAUCUGCCAAAAAAUACAAAAGACUUAACACAAUGCAGAAAUGCAGGAGUUCUGCAGCUUACAGCUUGCGGGGUGUAGGUCUUUACAAUCAACCUCACUUUCACAAGCUAAAUGACGUUUAGUGACUGCGGAUAUUCAGGAUGUCGCGCACGAUGGCAAGAAGGAGAAACAGCAUUGUGUGGAAACCAGGUUUACUCUAACUGGAUGUCAAGACAAUGCCGUAAAAAUGGAAAUAAAUGUUAGUAAAGAAAGUAAGUAAUAGAUAUAUUUCUUAUUAAAUAUUAGUAAGUAGAAUAUGGCUGUAAAUUGUGUAGCAAUAAAUAUUGUGAUGUCUAUUAUACUGCCUUUUGUCCUUAAUCCAAAAGACAUUGUCCUUAUUUCAAGGUGCAAAUUGUAUUGUAAGCUUUACCUACGAUAUUAUAAAAUGUUUCAUGUACUGUAUGCUAUAAAUUAUCUUUUUUAAUUAAACAUACAAAAAGUA